CGCGUAGGCGGCCGUCCAAGUCCGAGGUGAAAGCCCCCGGCUCAACCGGGGAAGGGCCUUGGAUACUGGUCGGCUGGGGGGAGGGUAGGGGCGGGCGGAACUUCCGGUGGAGCGGUGAAAUGCGUUGAUAUCGGAAGGAACGCCGGUGGCGAAAGCGGCCCGCUGGACCUCUGCCGACGCUGAGGCGCGAAAGCCAGGGGAGCGAACG
rnacentral:rRNA from 1 species